UACGUAGGUGGCAAGCGUUGUCCGGAUUUACUGGGCGUAAAGAGCGCGCAGGCGGUCGAUCAAGUCGCGUGUGAAAGCCCCCGGCUCAACUGGGGAGGGUCACGCGAUACUGAUCGACUCGAAGGCAGGAGAGGGUAGUGGAAUUCCCGGUGUAGCGGUGAAAUGCGUAGAUAUCUGGAGGAACACCGGUGGCGAAGGCGGCAUCCUGGACCAACACUGACGCUGAGUGAGCGAAAGCCAGGGGAGCAAACGGG
rnacentral:rRNA from 1 species